UCCGUAGGUGAACCUGCGGAAGGAUCAUUAAAGAUUCACAACUGUGCGCUCCGGUUGCACGUUGUAUAAACCUCACACACAUCGUGCACAACCUCGGUCGCGGUCUUAAUUGACCGCCUCCGCCUUUCACAUGCAACAAGUAGUCUAGAAUGUAAAAACCAUAACAAAAUACAACUUUCAACGACGGAUCUCUUGGCUCUCGCAUCGAUGAAGAACGCAGCGAAAUGCGAUAAGUAAUGUGAAUUGCAGAAUUCAGUGAAUCAUCGAAUCUUUGAACGCAUCUUGCGCUCCUUGGUAUUCCAUGGAGCAUGCCUGUUUGAGUGUCACGUAAACCCUCACACCUGCGACGUAAAAAUCGCCUGUUGUGGAUUUGGACCGUGCCGUAAUUGGCUCGUCCUUGAAAUGCAUUAGCUUGUGCUCGUUAGAGUGCUCGGCAUGGUGUGAUAAUUAUCUGCGCCGUUAUGCCUUAGGCCUCUUCUGUGUGCGCUGCUUCCAAUCGUCCCCCGUGGACGACGUAAAUUUAAAGCUUUGGCCUCAAAUCAGGUAGGACUACCCGCUGAACUUAAGCAUAUCAAUAAGCGGAGGA
rnacentral:rRNA from 1 species